rnacentral:rRNA from 1 species
ACUCCUACGGGAGGCAGCAGUGGGGAAUAUUGCACAAUGGGCGCAAGCCUGAUGCAGCCAUGCCGCGUGUAUGAAGAAGGCCUUCGGGUUGUAAAGUACUUUCAGCGGGGAGGAAGGCGAUAAGGUUAAUAACCUUGUUGAUUGACGUUACCCGCAGAAGAAGCACCGGCUAACUCCGUGCCAGCAGCCGCGGUAAUACGGAGGGUGCAAGCGUUAAUCGGAAUUACUGGGCGUAAAGCGCACGCAGGCGGUCUGUCAAGUCGGAUGUGAAAUCCCCGGGCUCAACCUGGGAACUGCAUUCGAAACUGGCAGGCUAGAGUCUUGUAGAGGGGGGUAGAAUUCCAGGUGUAGCGGUGAAAUGCGUAGAGAUCUGGAGGAAUACCGGUGGCGAAGGCGGCCCCCUGGACAAAGACUGACGCUCAGGUGCGAAAGCGUGGGGAGCAAACAGGAUUAGAUACCCCUGUAGUCCCAUGA